rnacentral:rRNA from 1 species
GUAGGGUGGGCAAGCGUUGUCCGGAAUUAUUGGGCGUAAAGCGCGCGCAGGCGGCCUUUUAAGUCUGAUGUGAAAGCCCACGGCUCAACCGUGGAGGGUCAUUGGAAACUGGGGGACUUGAGUACAGAAGAGGAAAGCGGAAUUCCAAGUGUAGCGGUGAAAUGCGUAGAGAUUUGGAGGAACACCAGUGGCGAAGGCGGCUUUCUGGUCUGUAACUGACGCUGAGGCGCGAAAGCGUGGGGAGCAAACAGGAUUAGAUACCCUGGUAGUCCACGCCGUAAACGAUGAGUGCUAAGUGUUAGGGGGUUUCCGCCCCUUAGUGCUGCAGCUAACGCAUUAAGCACUCCGCCUGGGGAGUACGGCCGCAAGGCUG